rnacentral:rRNA from 1 species
CACGUAGGGGGCAAGCGUUGUCCGGAUUCAUUGGGCGUAAAGAGCUCGUAGGCGGUUCGAUAAGUCGGGUGUGAAACCUCCAGGCUCAACCUGGAGACGCCACCCGAUACUGUCGUGACUAGAGUCCAGUAGGGGAGCGUGGAAUUCCUGGUGUAGCGGUGAAAUGCGCAGAUAUCAGGAGGAACACCAGUGGCGAAGGCGGCGCUCUGGGCUGGCACUGACGCUGAGGAGCGAAAGCGUGGGGAGCGAACAGG